GAAAGCAACGAUGGAAAUUUUCCCCUGCGCUCUCUUAUCUGCUCGUUAAGUAAACGGUUAAUGGUUAGAAUACGGUGGACCCUGGCGCGAUACAACAGACGUUGUCGCUCUAGUAAUUUCUCGGGACCCGAGGCAUCAUCGUACCAGCUCCACUUGGUUUGCUUUUACUAUAUAUUGUCGUUCCUGAAUCGGAGCCGGAGGAAAACGAGACGCCAACGACGCACGUUGUUCCGGAAAUACACGCCGCAGGGACCAAGUGCACAAAGAUAUUUCAGAUUUCCAUCACAACGCGUUUGUAAUGCGACGAAAAAUUUCAUCUGGAACAUUGUGAACCGCCACCGUGGAUGCACUUUACUCGAAUCGUCAGCUUUCGCGCGCUAUCUCUCCGCUUUAGUGUUGUUCAUGCGCAUACGUAAGAGAUUUGACACGCGCCCUUCUUAUCGGCAAGGAAUCGACCUUUCCGCCGCGGCAAACACAUCCCACCAUUAAUAUAUGUAUAUCUUUGCCGUUCACCCAACUCUACUCCCGGUCAUGUAGAUCGAGACGAGUGACAGCGGGGAAUUUUUGUCAAAGGAAUUUCCUCUCUGCAACUGGCGUCCAUCCAAUCGUUUACUCUAGCCAAUGCCUACUAGAGAGACCGUACUCUAUUCGCUCGCGAGUACCGCACAACUAUUCCCGCCGGUUCUGUUCUCGUACGAGAAGAAGAGAGAGAGAGACGGAACGUGUCGAGCGACACAGAAUAUGUACGGUGAAACGGAGCAAGGGAACGGAGAAGAGAAGAAAGCAAAGAAAGAAGAGGAGAGAAGAAAAGAUGAGAACGAGUGGGGAGUCUUUACACGGGGCGCACACGGUUCUCUGUUACCUGUGACUCGUGGCCGUGUCCAGCAUGGUAAUCCAAUCCCUUGGAUGGGGGGCUACCUCGUCAUCCCCGCGGAUCUCUCGUUGACCGAUCGCGAAAAAGUCGAGGAACUUCACUUAACAGCUAUUUUCCCUCCUCUUCGGGGCACUGCUCGUUGGAAAUGAAAUAUCACUCACUCGCGGGACGAGCUGCGACACUCGUGUACAAGAGAACGCGGAAGGACGCCUUUACUGGCGCGAACAAGACGCACUUCGAUUUUAGCCGAGUGUCUCGUCGUCGUUCUCUUAUUUUUCCCCCGCUUUACUUCGAACGAGUACGUGCACUGCUCGCCGGGGAACGCACGGUCAACACCACUCGACGAUUUAAUUACGCGCGAUACACGAUCGACGACGAAACGCGGGCUUGAUUUGACGAUUAUUAAACGCGCCACCACGAUAGCAAAACUAUCGUUACUUUAUAAACGACCGUACGCAAGCAAAGACCGGAAUAUACUGAGCGAACACAUGAUUCCGACGGUGCAUAGUGACUGCGCAUGCCCAGUAGAUGGAGCCACCCGAGCGGCGCUUCGAUCGAAAUCGAUCAAGCACGGAAGUCUUCAAAAAGUUCCUAAAGAAUUUUCGUUUUUCCUGUAAGAGUAAUCCUUAAAUUAAUGCAAAAUCAAGUUCGGAAGCGGGCGGAUAGUAUUAACAACUUAAUUCGACUUCAUGGACAAUUGUGUGCUGCCUGCAAUAUUGCUGUCAACCUACUACAGACGCUACCACGAGGUACACUCGUACACCGACAAAAUGUGUCAAUUUGCUACAAUUUAUGAACAUCAUCGAAUUUUUAUGCCUAAUUUCAUUUGCAAUCUUGUACAAUUGUAUUCCUGUAUUCGUUGUGAAAAUAGAUUAGGUUAGGAUAUGUGACAAGUAAUUUGUCUCAUUCUUAGCGGUAAAGGUUAUUUCGCGCCAAAUAGAUACGUAGUAGGUGGCACUACAACUGUUUUCGCAUAAUUUCUUUCCAUCAAUCGAAUGAAAAUUUGGUCAAUUUCAAAAUUAUGUUAUUUCUACAAUAUCAAGCUUCUAUCUAAACUACUUAUUACAAUCAUUAAGAAACGUACUGUUAGUUGUGUAGGAUGUUAAGAAAAUCUUAGAAAAUAGAACUUAUAAGAGUCACGUGUUCAUGAAAAUUUGCUAAGAUGGCGGAUGUUAGAAAAAGUGUAUUGCGUAUGGAGGGAAACAUGCGUCGCGUGUGUUUUAUGAUAUUCAGUCAGUAGUUAAAGUAUCGUAAUGUGUCAAAUAAAUUAUAUUGUAAACAGCUUCGGGCAAUGACAAGAAAUAUAGAAGUGGAUUUCAUCAUCGGUUCGCUGUCAGAACAAGUUGUGUGGUGUCUGCAACAUUGCUGUCAACCUACUGCAGACGCUACCACGAGGUACACCCGUACACCGACAAAAUGUGUCAAUUUGCUACAAUUUAUGAACAUCAUCGAAUUUUUAUGCCUAAUUUCAUUUGCAAUCUUGUACAAUUGUAUUCCUGUAUUCGUUAUGAAAAUAGAUUAGGUUAGGAUAUGUGACAAGUAAUUUGUCUCAUUCUUAGCGGUAAAGAUUAUUUCGCGCCAAAUAGGUACGUAGUAGGUGGCACUGCAACUGUUUUCGCAUAAUUUUUUUCCAUCAAUCGAAUGAAAAUUUGGUCAAUUUCAAAAUUAUGUUAUUUCUACAACAUCAAGCUUCUAUCUAAACUACUUAUUAUAAUCAUUAAGAAACGUACUGUUAGUUGUGUAGGAUGUUAAGAAAAUCUUAGAAAAUAGAAUUUAUAAGAGUCACGUGUCCAUAAAAUUUGCCAAGAUGGCGGAUGUUAGAAAAAGUGUAUUGCGUUUGGAGGGAAACAUGCGUCGCGGGUAUUUUAUAAUAUUCGGUUAGUAGCUAAAGUAUCGUAAUGGGUCGAAUAAAUUGUAUUAUAAACAGCUCCAGGCAAUAACAAGAAAUAUAGAAGUAGAUUUCAUCACCGGUUCGCUGUCAGGACAAGUUGUGUAGUGUCUGCAACAUAGCUGUCAACCUACUACAGACGCUACCACGGGGUACACCUGUUCACCGACAAAAUCUCCGGGCAAUGACAAGAAAUACAGAAGUGGAUUUCGUCAUCGGUUCGCUGUCAGGACAAGUUGUGUGGUGUCUGCAACAUCGCUGUCAACCUACUAUAGACGCUACCACGAGGUACACCUGCUCACCGACAAAAUGUAUCCAAGUGGCUUAACCCCAUAAGCAGUGACUGUAAUCAACCAAGGAUACACCUCCAGCGGAGAGGAAGCUUUAACUUGAGGCUCUCCAUCGGACAUGUGAUCUACCUUGGGUUCCUCCUUCACUCUGGUGUUACUAAAGAGAUUGAAAGCAGAAGCACGGGGAAAGGAAUUCGAAGACCCGGAGGAAAAUUCG